CGGGAUUUUAUUUGUAGCAAUACCGAUAAAAUCUAGUGGCGGACGGGUGCGUAACACGUGAGCAAUCUGCCGGGAAGUGGGGGAUAACUCGCCGAAAGGCGAAUUAAUACCGCAUGUGGCCAAGGAAGACAUCUUCCCAAAGCCAAAGUCGCAAGACGCUUCCUGAUGAGCUCGCGGCCUAUCAGCUAGUUGGUGAGGUAACGGCUCACCAAGGCUAUGACGGGUAGCUGGUCUGAGAGGACGACCAGCCACACUGGAACUGAGACACGGUCCAGACACCUACGGGUGGCAGCAGUCGAGAAUUUUUCACAAUGGGGGAAACCCUGAUGGAGCGACGCCGCGUGGAGGAUGAAGGUCUUCGGAUUGUAAACUCCUGUCAAAUGGGAACAAGAAAGUGAUAGUACCAUUAGAGGAAGAGACGGCUAACUCUGUGCCAGCAGCCGCGGUAAUACAGAGGUCUCAAGCGUUGUUCGGAUUCAUUGGGCGUAAAGGGUGCGCAGGCUGCGGGGUAAGUCGGAUGCGAAAUUUAGGGGCUCAACCUCUAAACUGCAUUCGAUACUGCUCUGCUAGAGGACUGUAGAGGAGAUUGGAAUUCACGGUGUAGCAGUGAAAUGCGUAGAUAUCGUGAGGAAGACCAGUGGCGAAGGCGAAUCUCUGGGCAGUUCCUGACGCUCAUGCACGAAGGCCAGGGGAGCAAACGGGAUUAGAUACCCCGGUAGUCCUGGCAGUAAACGGUGCACGUUUGGUGUGGGAGGAUUCGACCCCUUCCGUGCCGGAGCUAACGCGUU
rnacentral:rRNA from 1 species